AUUAUAAGACUUCACUUCAUGAUUUUCAACAAAUAAAUAAAUGAUAGUAUAUGUGUAACGAGUGUGAGCAGUUGGCGUUUUUUGAAUAAGCUCUUUUUGGAACGAACUGUACGCGAGGCGAAGCUUCACCGAUAGCGAGUUCCAAAAGCAGCAAAUCAUCACACAAAUUAUAAUGUUACAAUCGCGAUCAUCAGAUUACGUAAUUCCCUGUAGUUUUCUGGCAGCAGCAGUGUCAAAGAUCGCAUAAAUUCUCUCAACAGAGAGGCAAAACGCCUGAAAGCCAAAGAGUGCUUAGAAUUAGGUACAUUUAUUAAAAAGGAAUUCAAAAAAUUCGGCGAAAUUGUAUGCGUUGAUGAAACUUCUCCAUAUCGACGAAGCAAUAUUUUUUAAGUUUGUCUUUUGCGGAUGCAAAAGCAAAUAUUUGGAAAAAAAAUUGACCACACUAUGGAUCUUACUCGGAUACAAGAAAAAGUUAACAUUCAGUCUGGAAAUCAAGGGAAAGUCAAAUCAAAUUUUUGUAGCAACGUUAAAAUUCAAUAAAAUUUUGAAAUACUUGUACAUCAAGUUCAUGAAUAAUC